rnacentral:lncRNA from 1 species
AUGGAUUAAUCAGGAUAACCCACACAUACCUAAAUGAGUUCAAUUUAAUUUUCAGGGUCAAUCGCCAGACUGGAGGACACGCAGAAUUAUCACGUUUUCGAGGCAGCGUCGUGCAACGAUUGAGUGGUUCCCGGUCUCCAGUUAUACAUACAAAGAGAUGCACAGAGAAACACUGCCAAUCACGUCGCUGAAGGACACGGGGAAUCAACAUGUUUUCGAGGCAACGUCGUGCACCGCUCGCCAGUUAAGCAUACUAAAUUGUUAUUUUUAACUGCCAAUCGCCGCGCCGUAACCGGAAACGUACAGCUAGAGGACACGGAGCAGCGACUCCUUUUCAAGAAAGCGUCGAGCA